GACGAACGCUGGCGGCGUGCUUAACACAUGCAAGUCGAACGGAAAGGCCCUGCUUUUGUGGGGUGCUCGAGUGGCGAACGGGUGAGUAACACGUGAGUAACCUGCCCUUGACUUUGGGAUAACUUCAGGAAACUGGGGCUAAUACCGGAUAGGAGCUCCUGCUGCAUGGUGGGGGUUGGAAAGUUUCGGCGGUUGGGGAUGGACUCGCGGCUUAUCAGCUUGUUGGUGGGGUAGUGGCUUACCAAGGCUUUGACGGGUAGCCGGCCUGAGAGGGUGACCGGCCACAUUGGGACUGAGAUACGGCCCAGACUCCUACGGGAGGCAGCAGUGGGGAAUAUUGCACAAGGGGCGGAAGCCUGAUGCAGCAACGCCGCGUGCGGGAUGACGGCCUUCGGGUUGUAAACCGCUUUCGCCUGUGACGAAGCGUGAGGGACGGUAAUGGUAAAGAAGCACCGGCUAACUACGUG
rnacentral:rRNA from 1 species